ACCCCAAGAUCUUCCGGCUGCACAAGGCGAAUUACUUGCUCAUCUGUUAAUUCUUCUGAAUAUGCAGCAGGAUUUUCUCAAACUUAGAGCAUAAUUUUGCAGCAAGAUAUAUCUCAGAUAGCCACUGUGCAAUCAGCUCAACAGUGUAAAUUUAGAGCUAGAUUUUGUCAAACUGAAUCUUGCUCAACAGAUUUAGUUAUGUUGCUAAAAUUUUAGUAUUUUAUACUUCUCUGAAUACAAAAGACCUAUUCGGCAACUCUUCGCCCUGCACCUUGGCUCGUGAAGCGGCCGGAGCGGAGCAGACUAUAGCCUAUUUUCUUGGAGUCGCGGAAGUGGUGCACCGUUCGCUCCCCUAUUUUACGGAGCUGGAUGGUUGCCCAACAGGCUCAAAGUGUACUUCUUAUUGCAAGGAAAUUUAAAACUCAUUUCACAAAGUGCAUAGGAGCAGCAACAGUAGGGGCACGGGAGAAGGACAGAAGAUAGCAGAGCUCUAACGGUGGAAGCUCGAGGAGAAGCAGCAGCCGGAGCACAAGGAGAAGGUGUAGUCGGAGCUCGAGGAGAGGUAGAAGUGGGAGCUCGAGGACACAUAGGAGAGCAGUUUUUGGCGGUGGCAUAGGUUUGGCCGGAGGUGGCACAGCAGGUCUGAGGAACGGCGGGAGAGCACUUCUAGGCGGCAGGAGAGGGCCGCAGUGGCAUAGGUCUGGGCGAUGGCACCGAAGCUGUUCUGGGCGGCGGCAGACCGGGUCAUGAGGAAUCGUGGCUAUAGCUAGACGUGACUGACCGGCGCCGGCCCUGGCAAUGUGUAACUCAUCCUAUCUUUAUUUUGGCACGAGGGUCUCGACAGGGAUAGAA